rnacentral:lncRNA from 1 species
GAAUUAUGUGGCUCCUUCAUGUACUUUUUGAUUGAACAGUGAUAACUCAGAUAAUACAUUAUCCCGUGCCCCUCUCUGAGAGGAACCUGCCUUUUUUUUUUUUUUUUUUUCUUUUUUUUUUUUUUUUUUUUUUUUUUAACAGAGCAGUGAAAGAAGACUUCAUAGAGGCAUUUAAAGUGACAUCACCAUGCCAAUCCCAACUUACUACAACCGGCGAGAAGCAACUGCUAGACCAGAUUAAAUACGACGAAGGUCUGCAAGUUACCCUUGCUUCUGGCCUUCUACAGCUUGAGAGGGAAGCGGCGCCACAAGCUGCCCCAUCAUCCCUGUGGAAUGAUGCCCUCCUCUCCGUGACUUGGUGG